rnacentral:rRNA from 1 species
GACGAACGCUGGCGGUGUGCUUCACACAUGCAAGUCGAACGAGGUAGCAAUACCUAGUGGCGGACGGGUGAGUAACGCGUGGGAAUCUGCCUUUAGAUGGGGGGAUAACGGGUCGAAAGACUCGCUAAUACCGCAUAUGACGAAAGUUGAAAGGAGUAAUCCGUCUAAAGAUGAGCCCGCGUCCGAUUAGCUAGUUGGUAGAGUAAAAGCCUACCAAGGCGACGAUCCGGUAGCUGGUCUGAGAGGAUGAUCAGCCACAAUGGGACUAGAGACACGGCCCAUACUCCUACGGGAGGCAGCAGUGGGAAUUUUACGCAAUGGGCGAAAGCCUGACGUAGCGACACCGCGUGAGCGAAGAAGCCCCUGGGGUGUAAAGCUCUGUCAGCUGGAACGAAAAAAUAGACGGUACCAGCAGAGGAAGCAUCGGCUAACUACGUGCCAGCAGCCGCGGU